UGGGGAAUAUUGCACAAUGGGCGAAAGCCUGAUGCAGCAACGCCGCGUGAGUGAUGAGGGCCUUCGGGUUGUAAAGCUCUGUCUUCUGGGACGAUAAUGACGGUACCAGAGGAGGAAGCCACGGCUAACUACGUGCCAGCAGCCGCGGUAAUACGUAGGUGGCAAGCGUUGUCCGGAUUUACUGGGCGUAAAGGAUGCGUAGGCGGAUACUUAAGUCAGAUGUGAAAAUCCCGGGCUUAACUUGGGAACUGCAUUUGAAACUGGGUAUCUAGAGUGCGGGAGAGGAAAGUGGAAUUCCUAGUGUAGCGGUGAAAUGCGUAGAGAUUAGGAAGAACACCAGUGGCGAAGGCGACUUUCUGGACCGUAACUGACGCUGAGGCAUGAAAGCGUGGGGAGCAAACA
rnacentral:rRNA from 1 species